rnacentral:rRNA from 1 species
GAUGAACGCUAGCGGCAGGCUUAACACAUGCAAGUCGAGGGGCAGCGUGGAGCAGCAAUGCUCUGACGGCGACCGGCGGAAGGGUGCGUAACACGUGAGCGACUUGCCCGUCACAGGGGGAUAACCGGCGGAAACGGCGACUAAUACCCCAUAUGAUGCGAUGCUGCAUGGCAUUGCAUUGAAAGAUUCAUCGGUGGCGGAUAGGCUCGCGGGACAUUAGCUAGACGGCGGGGCAACGGCCCACCGUGGCGACGAUGUCUAGGGGUUCUGAGAGGAAGGCCCCCCACACUGGGACUGAGACACGGCCCAGACUCCUACGGGAGGCAGCAGUGAGGAAUAUUGGUCAAUGGGCGGAAGCCUGAACCAGCCAUGCCGCGUGAAGGACUAAGGCCCUACGGGUCGUAAACUUCUUUAGACGCAGAGCAAUAAGGUCCACGCGUGGACCGAUGAGAGUAUGCGUAGAAU